CAGAGGUGCCGAGCGUUAGGCGGAAUCACUGGGCUUAAAGCGCGUGUAGGCGGGUCGUUAAGUGUCCGCGUGAAAUCCCACGGCUCAACCGUGGAACUGCCGGGCAUACUGGCGACCUUGAGGCACUUAGGGGCGAGCGGAACAAAUGGUGGAGCGGUGAAAUGCGUAGAUAUCAUUUGGAACGCCGACGGUGAAAACAGCUCGCUGGGAGUGUCCUGACGCUGAGACGCGAAAGCCAGGGGAGCGAACGGGAUUAGAUACCCCGGUAGUCCUGGCCCUAAACGAUGUCCACUAGGUCGCGGCGGUUUUGACGCCGUCGCGGCCGGAGCAAAAGUGUUAAGUGGACCGCCUGGGAAGUACGGUCGCAAGGCUA
rnacentral:rRNA from 1 species